CUCUAAUCUUCAUUCAUACAUCUCCGCCUCCUAGGGUUUUAUUAUUCCAUCAUAAGUUUCUGUUCUCCAUCUCUAAAUCGGCUCUCAACUAUCUUCAAUCACGCUUCCACCUCCCUCAUUCACAUUUUGCCUCCAUGAAGAAACCCUAGCCUCCUCCCUGUGAAGCAACCCUAUGUAUCUUCAUCCCCAAUUGCGAUUAUAAGCAACAAGUAAGUUUUUUUUUUCUGAAUCUUUAAUGCUCUAAACCUAACUUUCUUUGAUUGAAGCUUCUUCUAAUCAAGAACCUUAAAUCUCUAAAUCUUUGUCGUAUUCUACAUUGGCGAUUCCAAAGGUACGUUUUCACUAUUCGAUUUCAUCUAAUCUUCAACAAUGAUCUGAUGACGUAUUUUUUUGUAUCAAAUUGGUUAGAAUAAUUGAAUCGGUAGAUUGAUUUAUGACCUAGGGUUUAUGAAGUAUGCAAUUUGUUCGUUUUUUAGAUCAAAACGGUUGGAUUAAUUGGACUGGUAUAGUGAAUUAUGACCUAGGGUUUAUGAACUAUCAAGUGUGCAAUUUGUUUGUUGUUUUUUAUUUUGUGGAUGACGGAAAAGCUGGCAACGAUUCUUUUUUUGUUCAGCCAAUGGAGCUAUGAUGACGUUCAGGUUAUCCUUAUUAAUCAAUUCGUGUUAGUUUGGUUUUAUUUUUAUGUUUUUGCUUCUAUUUUGCGAUGAUUUAUGCUUGAUUUUGGUGCUGUGUCACAGGUGUAAGUGGUAUUCAUUAAAUGAUUGGAUCGAUAUUAUAGGCUUCCCAUUGCUUCAGUUUUGUUGAUCAUGGAAAACGGGUUAUCAUGAAAUCGAAGUGUUACGAAUCUCAUCUUCUUGAUACUCAUGCUCCACCUGCUAUGAAACUCAUCCUCUUCAAUUUCGCAACAUCUUUCGCUUCGAUUUGUUCAAAUCACAGGGAUUCAGCAGUUUGGCUGCUGGUAAUGAAGAGAGGAGGAGAAGCUAAAGAAAGAAUCUUUGGUUUUUCUUUUUUCUUUUUUGCUACGUAAGUCUACUCAUGCUAUUGGUAUCUAUGUUUUUUUUUUCUCUCUAACAUAUCAAAGAAAAAUACACAAUGUUUAAUAUUUUGUAGUUUUCAAAAUAACUUGAUUUAUUUUAAAUUGAAAUGUGUAUAUAUUAUUGGAGGUAUUGAUAUACUAAGAUACAAUCAGCAUUUUUUAUAUCUUUUUACAUGUAUGAAAAAUAUUACGAUGGGAGAAAUGUCUAAGGCCAGAAGGCAGAGUUCUCUUAGAACAAACGACAAAGAGAUUGAAUCGUCAGGAAAUGAUUAGUCGAGUUCUUCAUUACAAGCCUGAAGCAGAGGCUUGAGAGCAUGAGUGUAGUGGUUUUUGACAUUAAUAAAGACGGUGGAACCAUCAGUUGCGUAUUCUCUUCAAACUAAUGGCCGGCAACGUUGAGAGUUUGCUGCAUCUAAUGAUGUAAACUGAAACCAAUUUUCAUAAGCAUCAAAUAAACAAACAAGUACAUUUUAGCUGCUGCUGCUUGGAAUUUUGAAAUGAUUAAUAAUAAGGUAAAGUAAUUCAGCUGUUACUCUUAAAUUUGUUGAAAGUCAUUCAUGGUCAAACAAGGUACGCUGUUGUUGGAUUGCAUGAUAUAAUUGAAGCCGAACAUAUUUUGUUAGGUGAUAACUGUUUUUUCAAUUGGUCAAAAACGAAUUCGAGGUUAUUGGUUACGAAGCUCUAGCAAGUAGAAGUAUUAGAGUAAUAAGCUUUCCAUUUAUAUUUUCAGACCAGGAAAACGUAUUUCCUUCAUUUACUUAUCUUUUCGGUUUUGUUAGAUAUAUAGUACGAUGCUUCGUUGUAUUUUAAUCUUCAACUUCAGAUUUCCAUAAUAAGUCC